rnacentral:rRNA from 1 species
CGCCUCUUGCACACUCAAUAAGAGGUCCAGCCUGCCCAGUGACCCUGUUCAACGGCCGCGGUAUCCUAACCGUGCGAAGGUAGCGUAAUCACUUGUUCUUUAAAUGAGGACUAGUAUGAAUGGCAUCACGAAGGUUAUACUGUCUCCUCUCUCUAAUCAGUGAAACUAAUCUCCCCGUGAAGAAGCGGGGAUGAUCAUAUAAGACGAGAAGACCCUAUGGAGCUUUAAACUAAGAAGCAAUUGCCCUCAUACCUUUGAAAUUCCAGAAAACUAAUGAGUACAAGGCACUGUGACUUCCAGUUUUAGGUUGGGGUGACCACGGAGUAAAAACUAACCUCCGCACUGAAUAGGGGCCUUCCCUAAACUAAGGGCCACAACCCUAAGAAUCAAUACAUUGACAGCAAUUGACCCAAAAAUUUGAUCAAUGAACCAAGUUACCCUAGGGAUAACAGCGCAAUCCACUUCAAGAGCUCCUAUCGACAAGUGGGCUUACGACCUCGAUGUUGGAUCAGGGUACCCCAGUGGUGCAGCCGCUACUAACGGUUCGUUUGUUCAACGAUUAAAACCCU